rnacentral:rRNA from 1 species
GUGGGGAAUAUUGGACAAUGGGCGAAAGCCUGAUCCAGCCAUGCCGCGUGUGUGAAGAAGGUCUUCGGAUUGUAAAGCACUUUAAGUUGGGAGGAAGGGCAGUAAGUUAAUACCUUGCUGUUUUGACGUUACCGACAGAAUAAGCACCGGCUAACUUCGUGCCAGCAGCCGCGGUAAUACGAAGGGUGCAAGCGUUAAUCGGAAUUACUGGGCGUAAAGCGCGCGUAGGUGGUUUUGUAAGUUGGAGGUGAAAUCCCCGGGCUCAACCUGGGAACUGCCUCCAAAACUGCAUGACUAGAGUACGGUAGAGGGUAGUAGAAUUUCCUGUGUAGCGGUGAAAUGCGUAGAUAUAGGAAGGAACACCAGUGGCGAAGGCGACUACCUGGACUGAUACUGACACUGAGGUGCGAAAGCGUGGGGAGCAAACAGGAUUAGAUACCCUAGUAGUCC